AUGGCUUUGAAAUAAAAGAAAACAAAAAAAAAAAGGGAAACCUGCCCUCUCUCUAUUCUGGCCGAAGGCCCAUCCCCCUCUCCCUUUCCCCCGGCCCAAACGCGCAACCGGCCCAUUCUCUCCCCCAGCCCAGCCCCGCGCCUCUCCCUUCUCUUUUUCUCUCUGUCACUGAUCAAUCGGGCCCGCACGUCAGCGACCCACCGUCCCUUCCUUCUUCUACCUUGAGCCGGCAGCAAACCGGACUCCAUCCCGGUUGCCAAAUCCCGACCUUCCCGGGAUUUACUUGCUCUGGAGCCAAACCGUGCACCCUAUAAGACCUGCGCAACCUCCUCUACAUAUUUCCUUCGCUUGAACGCGUACUCGAGAAGCCUAGUGACCUCUAUCACCAAUUUUCGGAUCUCGCCGAAGCCCUCUCUUGCCGCCGCCGUGAAGCUUCUUGACCGCCGCAGUGUUGACAAAUUCAAGCCCUUGUCGAGCUUCGCGUCGGGGUAACGAAGUUUCGGAGCCGCUUAUCUUCUUUUUCUUCUGCUUGGGGUGCUCGCUAACUCGGCCAUGGCUUGCAGGAACACCGCCGCCCGCCACCCUGCGUGGUCUCAUCUCUCCGGACUGUCCCCGCCCUCUAUCUUGGUCUUGGUGAGUUCGCAACGCUCUUCUCUAUCUCCCUGUGCUAAUCUCGUCGAAAACCGAGGCCCGAAUCGCUUUCUGGCAAAGCUCCGGCGAGCCCCAGCCAUGGCGCCGCCGUGUUGGUACUGUUCCGGCCGGGACACCCCUCUCUCCCUCCCCAGUUUCUAAUCCAGACCGUUCGAUUCAAGAUCAACGGCCGAGAACCUGACAUACCCCUUCGCCUGGCACUCUUGCUAAAGAGUCCCUGGAGUUUUGGGGAUUGGAACCCGCGGUCCCUGGCGCCUUUCCACAAUACGCUUUGCUGUGUAGAAAACGUAAAUGCUCCCGGAUUGAAUCAAAAUACGUUUUCAGUAUUUACAGUUUUGCCACCAGAUUUAAAUUGCUUAUCACAUGCUCAUUUUAAAUCCGAUUUGGUCCAUUCAAAUUGCGUUAGGUUCGUAUUUACGAGCUUUACAUGUUAAAAAUAUUAUUCCACUAUUUUGAAACUUUUAUUUUUGCAGUAGCAUUUAAUUAAUUAUUUAUCUAUAGGAAAUCCUGGAAAAAUUCAUAUCUUCUCCGUUUCAACCCCGAUUUUCGCGAUCUUUACGUCCAUGAAAUCGUAACGAUGCGUAGAAUCUUUUUAUAAACUUUUCAUACUGUUUUUUUUAUAUGUUUGGUGUACUGUUCUAAUUAUAGCCUUGUUUGCUUCGUGUAUGUUGUCUCCGUUUGUUUGUGUGAUGAUGAUCGAGUUUAGACGGAGAGCAGUUUCAGUGAUCAAGAUCAAAGCUUUGGCAACAAGUGAGACCAGCAGAAACAAAAGGAUAAGCAAGAGCAUUUGGAUUAAGGCAAGUAUAGCAUUUGGAUUUUAUUUCUGUGACCAUGAUCUUGUGACUAGAUUAAUGUUAAGUAAUAAAUGACAAAAUGACUUUUUAGCCACUUGAUGAUUUAUCUGUAAGUGAUAACCGGGACAACAGUGCAACCAUGAGGGCUAUAAUGGCUCUGGCUUUAGUUAAGUAUGAGUAACUUUUCUAGCUCGUUAGCGGUUACCCGUUGUGGCGCAAUUGGGGAAUAGCAGACCGUGGAUUCCUGCGGGUGAAUCACACGGACUGACUAAUGAAACCAAGCGGCCCUAACUUGUUAGACGAACCUUUGAAAGACUUCAUAGUGAUCCCUGCCGACCUCCCUAGGAAGGGGGUUAAGAGAUUAGCUACCUCGGGCGAAAGGGUAAAUCAUGACUCAUGGGUAAAGAUGUGCAACCUCUGCAGAGGGUUAAAAACUAGUAUACUAGCCGAGCUCACGGUCAGGAGCGGCCUUGGGGAUUCUUGCUGCGACGAUGAUGAUUCUUGUGUGUUAAAUAUGCUCAUUGUUUAUUGUUUAAUGCUUUACAUUAUUUAUGUCACAUUGGUCAUGAGAUUGUGGGAGCUAUACAAUCUAGUUGCUAUACUUGUUGAGUUCGACAUGGACUCACUCCUGCUAUUUCCCCCAAACCUCAGGAGGAGUUUAGGCUUGUGAUCAACCAGUCAGUUGGAUCCUGUAGAGAGAAGUUAAUACCCGAAGUUUGGAGUUGUCUAUCCGCUGUUUGUUAUCAAAGGUUAUCUCUUUUAUACUAAGUACGUUAUAUAUUUAUGCAUUGUCUUUUGAUAUUACCCCUUAUUUGUAGCUAUAUAUGAGAAUUGACUUCUAAAACUCAUAUAUAGUGUAUAUCUGGUUUUGUCCUUAAAAUCGGGUAUUAUAAAGUGGUAUCAAAGCAAUGCUGACUGUAGGACGCAAGCCUAGUUAGAACUGGACGUUUUGGCAUGCUUCUAUCUUUGCUUACUUCUUGCUUUUCGCCUUGACCUUGAUGGUUGCUAAAAGUUAUGCUUACCUCUUGCCUAGUUCUUUUAUAAAAUCUUGUCUCUAUUCUAAAUCCUCUCUCUUUGUCUCUUUAGAUGGAUCAUAACGAGGAGACCUUUGACAAGAAGGAACAAAAGCACCCAGAUUUUCCAACCGUAAAAGCAUUCGACAUGGAGAAGCUUCUAGCCAUGCAAACACAAGUAGUGGAAGGAAUAACUCAGAAUAAGAACUCUCAACAACGUAUCUCAGGACCCGUGAGGAGACAAGUAGCAGAAGCUUGGAAAAAUAUGAGAAAUCAUGGAAGCGUUGGGAGUAAUACAUCAGGAUAUCAGGAUCAAUGCCACUGUUGUGAGCAUUAUGGUCUUCCUUGUCUUCGGAAUAUGUCAUCUAAGAAGGAAGUUAAGACAAAACCAACCUGUGUGACUAAUGAGGAUAAGAAGAGGAAGGCAAAAGCACUAGAGCCGAGAUUGGGAAGUGAUCAACACCCAAAUCCCAAGAUGUCACAUGUAGCUUCAAAUUCCCGUCAGGAAAACUCAAACCUUGGAGAUGAACAAAUUCCCCAAGCUAAUCCCACUGCUCAUGAGGUAUGCAUAGAUGGGUGGACAAUUACUUAUAGAGAGUUUCAACCUCGGAGGAUCAAGCAAUGUAGAAAGAAAUCUAACCAGGCAAAGAUAAACCAUCAGAGUAUGCAAGUUGAUAACACACCGAACAACACUUCAGUGGAAAAUAACAUCACAGAGGAACCAGCUAAGAGAAGGUGUUAUCACUGCCAACAAGAAGGACAUUAUAUAAGCUCUUGUCCACAAAAGAAGCAACAGAUGCAUCGUGAAGAUAACCACACUAAGUCUAAGAUAUAGGUGUCCGUGUCCCCUGGUGUAAUAAAAACGCUAGUAGCGAAAGUUGAGUUUGUGUGCCUUGUGAACCUUUAAUGCUUAAUUGCUUGUUAUUAUGUUUAUGUUUGAUUUGGAUCUUUGUAAUGAGUGUAAUGAUUUUGUGAAGUUCUUCACAAUUUCAUUUAGUUUAUAGAACUAAGGCAUACGGAGUAAUGACAUAAAUAGUUGGGUUUGGUUAUAUCCUGUUUCUGUCUUUUGCUGAUUUCUGGAGCAGUCUGCAAUAAUCAUAGUGUAUAUCAAGAUCUGGUCGUGCAAAGUUUACUAAACUUUUCUGGAAACAACUAGACUCCAAGAUCUUUCUCUGACCACAAGAAUCACCCUCAUAGCUGUUAUGGUUUGGAAGUUACAAAAAUCACAACAGGAUACGACUGUGCUGUCAAGAACCUGGACCAGUUUCGGUUGCUUACUGUUUGGACAUAUAUAACUAUAGAAUUUGGAAGAGUAUUCUAUAGAAAAGUUGUAGACAAUUUUCUAUUCUUUCUAACGGUAUAAGCUGGAACUUAUUUGGAUAAGUAGAACCUGAGAUAUGAUAUUUACAAUUGGAUGUUUCUGUUCUGUUUCAAAAUCUGGAUAGAUCUGGCAAUUCCUAUUCUCAGCCAAGCUUAAAGACAGAAUCUGGGGAAAAGUUGUAUACGAAAGUUGUAAAGGAUUUCAUAAGCUUUUCAACAAUGUAAGGAUCAUCUCCAUAUGAGUUAAGUAGCUCGAGGUAUAAUUUCUGGAAUUUACUGCAUCUUUGCUGAGAUAUUAUCAGGAAGGAUAUUAUGUUUGGCUGUUUUACCUGAGCCUAAAUACAGAACCUAAGGACGUCUUCUACAGGAAAGUUGUAGGGAAUUUCAUAAUCUUUCUAACGGUAUAAGCUACAACUCUAUUGGAUUAACAGAAUGGGAGUUACACCUGUUUUUCUAUGCUGGUGUUUUUCAUAUCGCGGGAAAAUUUCAGGAUACAUGUUUGUUCUCUUGCACAGAAGCUCUUUGGGAUGUCAUAAGUUCUCAAUGUUAGUUAACUUGUCUGGAAAACAUGCUAGCUACCUUUCUUGUGUCCCCUAGAUGACCUUUAUUAAGGGGGGUAGCCUAAAUAAAGGGGUUACAUGGAGAAGAAUUGGAUAAUGUUGGAACAAGAGACUCGGUACCACGAAUGUAAAAGACUAUGAUGUGUGGCGUCCAAAAAGGAUAGGAGAACUAGUCCCUAGUGUCCCCAAUCAAUCUAAUUUUAAGGGGGGUAGUACCUUGAUAACACGGGUGAUGCAUUUUAAGACUAGCUUGGAGUGAUAAUUGUCUUCUAAGAUAUUCUAUGGUUAUGAUCAUCUAUCCUUGCCGUGUUACUGACGUUGGUCACUUGAUGACAGGGAGUGUAGUGUCCCAAGAAUCCGGAGCACAAUAUGACACCUCUCAUGGAUAGGUGGGAAGAAUAUGAUCAUCUUGAUUUUGAAGAAAGAUGCUAUGAGUAUGACAAAGCUGAGUGUUAUCAAAAUAACAAUAUGGAAGAGCAAGUUGACAACGAAUCAAAUCAAAAUCCACAACGACGGAAGCGUAAAAGGAAAGCUCGUAAGAAGCCUGCUCUCGGAAAUAAAGUACAGCGAAAUUAUAUCAAUGGAAGACUGAACAAUGUGGAUAUGCAUAACAUUCAAGGAGCCACCAAAGUGGUGGGAGGCUAUAUUCAAGUGGACUCAGUACUAGUUUUUGCUCUGUUUGACCGAAGUGCUUCACAUUCUUUCAUAUCCGCUGACUUGGUAAAGACAAUCGAACGGGUGAAGUGUCCGACGAGAAAGCCUUUGUUAGUUCAAACCCCAAUGGGAGAAAUACAGGCAGAUCAGGUUUGCUCAAAUAUCAAUCUUGUCAUAAAGAAGGAAAACUUCACUGUAAACCUCAUUGUGCUAGAGUCACUCAAUAUUCCUUUGGUUCUUGGCAAUGGAUGGUUAUGUGCACACAAGGCAGUGAUCUAUGCUACCCAGUGGAAAAUUUUCUUAACCGCACCAUCAGGGAAAAGAAUUGAGUAUCAAGGUGGUCCACUCCUACCUGAGGAGGCAUACCCAUGCUAAGAUAUCAUGUCUUCGAGUGGUAUAAGUUGAAAAGUUGGUAGUCAAGAUGGACAGUGAGCAAUUACGAAUAAUAGAUAUCUUAUGGAAGUUUUGUUCACAAGUUGUGAUCCCAAGACAUAAGUGUUUACACUGGAAUACAAGUUGUGAAGUUAAAAUAGUUAUCAAGAUCUUUAUCCUGUGUUCUCUCAGAGGAAUCUGUGUCUCUUUCGAAUCUCGAGGACGAGAUUCAUUUUAAGGGGGGUAGAUUUGUAACACCCUAAAAAUUGUUUUGUGGAAAAUAGAGCUAAAAUAAUUUAAUUUUGAAUUUUUGUGCUCAUGAAACAAUGGAAAUAAUAAUCUUCAUUAAAAUAAAACUUAUCAUAGAAUUUAGCAACUUGUUGUGCAUUCAUAUUGGGGCAUUAUUUUCAUUGUAUUGUGUGGAUUUAAACUGAUUUUAAAAUGAUUUUCAAACUUGUUUUUGAAAUGGCUUUGAAAUAAAAGAAAACAAAAAAAAAAGGGAAACCUGCCCUCUCUCUAUUCUGGCCGAAGGCCCAUCCCCCUCUCCCUUUCCCCCGGCCCAAACGCGCAACCGGCCCAUUCUCUCCCCCAGCCCAGCCCCGCGCCUCUCCCUUCUCUUUUUCUCUCUGUCACUGAUCAAUCGGGCCCGCACGUCAGCGACCCACCGUCCCUUCCUUCUUCUACCUUGAGCCGGCAGCAAACCGGACUCCAUCCCGGUUGCCAAAUCCCGACCUUCCCGGGAUUUACUUGCUCUGGAGCCAAACCGUGCACCCUAUAAGACCUGCGCAACCUCCUCUACAUAUUUCCUUCGCUUGAACGCGUACUCGAGAAGCCUAGUGACCUCUAUCACCAAUUUUCGGAUCUCGCCGAAGCCCUCUCUUGCCGCCGCCGUGAAGCUUCUUGACCGCCGCAGUGUUGACAAAUUCAAGCCCUUGUCGAGCUUCGCGUCGGGGUAACGAAGUUUCGGAGCCGCUUAUCUUCUUUUUCUUCUGCUUGGGGUGCUCGCUAACUCGGCCAUGGCUUGCAGGAACACCGCCGCCCGCCACCCUGCGUGGUCUCAUCUCUCCGGACUGUCCCCGCCCUCUAUCUUGGUCUUGGUGAGUUCGCAACGCUCUUCUCUAUCUCCCUGUGCUAAUCUCGUCGAAAACCGAGGCCCGAAUCGCUUUCUGGCAAAGCUCCGGCGAGCCCCAGCCAUGGCGCCGCCGUGUUGGUACUGUUCCGGCCGGGACACCCCUCUCUCCCUCCCCAGUUUCUAAUCCAGACCGUUCGAUUCAAGAUCAACGGCCGAGAACCUGACAUACCCCUUCGCCUGGCACUCUUGCUAAAGAGUCCCUGGAGUUUUGGGGAUUGGAACCCGCGGUCCCUGGCGCCUUUCCACAAUACGCUUUGCUGUGUAGAAAACGUAAAUGCUCCCGGAUUGAAUCAAAAUACGUUUUCAGUAUUUACAGUUUUGCCACC
rnacentral:lncRNA from 1 species